CCUACGGGAGGCAGCAGUGGGGGAUAUUGGACAAUGGGGGAAACCCUGAUCCAGCGACGCCGCGUGAGUGAGGAAGUCUUUCGGUAUGUAAAGCUCUAUCAGCAGGGAAGAAAGAAAUGACGGUCCCUGAUUAAUAAGCCCCGGCUAACUACGUGCCAGCAGCCGCGGUAAGACGUAGGGGGCAAUCGUUAUCCGGAAUUACUGGGUGUAAAGGGCGCGUAGACGGUAAUGCAAGUCUGGAGUGAAAGGCGGGGGCCCACCCCCCGGACUGCUCUGGAACCUGUGUAACUGGAGUGCAGGAGAGGCAGGCGGAAUUCCUAGUGUAGCGGUGAAAUGCGUAGAUAUUAGGAGGAACACCAGUGGCGAAGGCGGCCUGCUGGACUGUAACGGACGUUGAGGCUCGAAAGCGUGGGGAGCAAACAGGAUUAGAUACCCGUGUAGUC
rnacentral:rRNA from 1 species